rnacentral:rRNA from 1 species
GAUGAACGCUGGCGGCGUGCCUAAUACAUGCAAGUCGAGCGAACAGACGAGGAGCUUGCUCCUCUGACGUUAGCGGCGGACGGGUGAGUAACACGUGGAUAACCUACCUAUAAGACUGGGAUAACUUCGGGAAACCGGAGCUAAUACCGGAUAAUAUAUUGAACCGCAUGGUUCUAUAGUGAAAGACGGUUUUGCUGUCACUUAUAGAUGGAUCCGCGCCGCAUUAGCUAGUUGGUAAGGUAACGGCUUACCAAGGCAACGAUGCGUAGCCGACCUGAGAGGGUGAUCGGCCACACUGGAACUGAGACACGGUCCAGACUCCUACGGGAGGCAGCAGUAGGGAAUCUUCCGCAAAGGGCGAAAGCUUGACGGAGCAACGCCGCGUGAGUGAUGAAGGUCUUCGGAUCGUAAAACUCUGUUAUUAGGGAAGAACAAAUGUGUAAGUAACUAUGCACGUCUUGACGGUACCUAAUCAGAAAGCCACGGCUAACUACGUG